UCCAUCAGUAUAUACCACAAU
rnacentral:piRNA from 1 species